rnacentral:rRNA from 1 species
CGAAAUUCCUUGUCGGGUAAGUUCCGACCUGCACGAAUGGCGUAACGACUUCCCCACUGUCUCGACCAGGAGCUCGGCGAAAUUGCAGUACGAGUAAAGAUGCUCGUUAAGCGCAGAAGGACGAAAAGACCCCGGGACCUUUACUAUACCUUGGUAUUGGCAUUAGGCGCGGAUUGUGUAGCAUAGGCGGGAGGCUUCGAAGCGGGUGCGCCAGCAUUCGUGGAGCCGCAAGGUGAAAUACCGCUCUGUUCUCGUUUGAUGUCUAACCUCGAACAGUCAUCCUGUUCAGGGACAGUGCCUGGCGGGUAGUUCAACUGGGGCGGUUGCCUCCCAAAGAGUAACGGAGGCGCUCAAAGGUCCGCUCAGCCCGGUUGGCAAUCGGGUGUCGAGUGUAAUCGCACAAGCGGGCUUGACUGCGAGAUCGACGGAUCGAGCAGGGACGAAAGUCGGAGAUAGUGAUCCGGUGCCGGCGCACGGGCGCGGCAUCGCUCAACGGAUAAAAGGUACCCCGGGGAUAACAGGCUGAUCAUUCCCAAGAGUCCAUAUCGACGGGAUGGUUUGGCACCUCGAUGUCGGCUCGUCGCAUCCUGGGGCUGGAGCAGGUCCCAAGGGUUCGGCUGUUCGCCGAUUAAAGCGGCACGCGAGCUGGGUUCAGAACGUCGUGAGACAGUUUGGUCUCUAUCCUCUGCGCUCGUUGGAAUCCUGAGGAGGCCUGCCCAUAGUACGAGAGGACCUGGGUGGACGAACCUCUGGUAUGCCGGUUGUCGCGCCAGCGGCACGGCCGGUUGGCUACGUUCGGGAGGGAUAACCGCUGAAAGCAUCUAAGCGGGAAGCCUGCUCCAAGAUUAGGAUUCCGUACGGUCUUGAACCGUUGUAGCCCGCAUGUUGAACACGUGUUUGAUAGGCCGGAGGUGGAAGUCCCGUGAGGGGUGGAGCCGACCGGUACUAACGGGCGACGGCGACACAAC